AUGCGAUUGAUGCUUGUACGUUCACUGCAUUUCCCCCUUCCUCUCCAUCCGCUCUUGCCUGCCCGUCGUCUCCUUCAUGUCCCAGCCUCUACAUUUUCCCCUUCCUCUCCAUCUGCUCUUGCCUGCCUGUUGUCUCCUUCAUGUCCCAGCCUCUACAUUUUCCCCCUCCUCUCCAUCCGCUCUUGCCUGCCUGUCAUCUCCUUCAUGUCCCAGCCUCUACAUUUUCCCCUUCCUCUCCAUCUGCUCUUGCUUGCCUGUCGUCUCCUUCAUGUCCCAGCCUCUACCAUGUCAUCCUUGCCGACGAGCUCGGCCUCUGUGGCAGCAGCCCCAUGGCCGCCGGUAUGUGGAAUGAGAAUGUCCAGUUGUUCUUCAACACUAACAGAGGUCCCCUGUUCUUUUCCUAUAGAUGAAUGUUUCAUUCAUUGA
rnacentral:rRNA from 1 species